GAGAGGAGGAAGCGGCGGACGGGUGAGGAACACGUGGAUACCUACCCCUCAGUGAGGAAUACCGGCGAGAAAUCGCCGACAAUACCGCAUAAGGUCCCUCCUGCGAGGGAGCAAAGCCGCAAGGCGCUGGGGGAGGGGUCUGCGUCCGAUUAGCUAGCUGGUGGGGUAAUGGCUCACCAGGGCGACGAUCGGUAGCUGGUCUGAGAGGAUGAUCAGCCACACUGGGAUUGAGAACGGCCCAGACUCCUACGGGGGGCAGCAGUGAGGAAUCUUCGGCAAUGGGGGCAACCCUGACCGAGCAACGCCGCGUGCAGGAAGAAGGUUUUCGGAUCGUAAACUGCUUUUCUGUGGGACGAGCAAGGACGGUACCACAGGAAGAAGCCCCGGCUAACUACGUG
rnacentral:rRNA from 1 species